AGCGAACGCUGGCGGCAGGCUUAACACAUGCAAGUCGAGCGGGCACUUUCGGGUGUCAGCGGCGGACGGGUGAGUAACGCGUGGGAACGUGCCCUCUGGUUCGGAAUAACUCAGGGAAACUUGAGCUAAUACCGGAUACGCCCUCUUGGGGAAAGGCUGGCUGACGGAGGAUCGGCCCGCGUCUGAUUAGCUAGUUGGUGAGGUAACGGCUCACCAAGGCGACGAUCAGUAGCUGGUCUGAGAGGAUGAUCAGCCACACUGGGACUGAGACACGGCCCAGACUCCUACGGGAGGCAGCAGUGGGGAAUAUUGGACAAUGGGCGCAAGCCUGAUCCAGCCAUGCCGCGUGAGUGAUCAAGGCCUUAGGGUUGUAAAGCUCUUUUAUCCGGGACGAUAAUGACGGUACCGGAGGAAUAAGCCCCGGCUAACUUCGUG
rnacentral:rRNA from 1 species